rnacentral:rRNA from 1 species
AACAGGAUUAGAUACCCUGGUAGUCCACGCUGUAAACGAUGUCGACUUGGAGGUUGCGCCCUUGAGGCGUGGCUUCCGGAGCUAACGCGUUAAGUCGACCGCCUGGGGAGUACGGCCGCAAGGUUAAAACUCAAAUGAAUUGACGGGGGCCCGCACAAGCGGUGGAGCAUGUGGUUUAAUUCGAUGCAACGCGAAGAACCUUACCUACUCCUGACAUCCAGAGAAUUUGCUAGAGAUAGCUUAGUGCCUUCGGGAACUCUGAGACAGGUGCUGCAUGGCUGUCGUCAGCUCGUGUUGUGAAAUGUUGGGUUAAGUCCCGCAACGAGCGCAACCCUUAUCCUUUGUUGCCAGCGAGUAAUGUCGGGAACUCAAAGGAGACUGCCGGUGAUAAACCGGAGGAAGGUGGGGAUGACGUCAAGUCAUCAUGGCCCUUACGAGUAGGGCUACACACGUGCUACAAUGGCAUAUACAAAGAGAAGCGAACUCGCGAGAGCAAGCGGACCUCAUAAAGUAUGUCGUAGUCCGGAUUGGAGUCUGCAACUCGACUCCAUGAAGUCGGAAUCGCUAGUAAUCGUAGAUCAGAAUGCUACGGUGAAUACGUUCCCGGGCCUUGUACACACCGCCCGUCACACCAUGGGAGUGGGUUGCAAAAGAAGUAGGUAGCUUAACCUUCGGGAGGGCGCUUACCACUUUGUGAUUCAUGACUGGGGUGAAGUCGUAACAAGGUAACC